rnacentral:rRNA from 1 species
CCUACGGGGCGCAGCAGUGAGGAAUAUUGGUCAAUGGGCUUACGCCUGAACCAGCCAAGUCGCGUGAGGGAAGACUGCCCUAUGGGUUGUAAACCUCUUUUGUCAGGGAGCAACGCCGGCUACGUGUAGCCGUACUGAGAGUACCUGAAGAAAAAGCUUCGGCUAACUCCUUUCCAGCAGCCGCGGUAAUACGGAGGAUGCGAGCGUUAUCCGGAUUUAUUGGGUUUAAAGGGUGCGUAGGCGGAAUGCCAAGUCAUCGGUAAAAUCGCGGGGCUCAACCUCGCUCCGCCGUUGAAACUGGUGUGCUUGAGUGGGCGAGAAGGAUGCGGAAUGUGUGGUG